UUGGCGGUGGAAUUAGGUCACGGAUUUGGAGAGGUUGGAAUCAGGGAGGUGUUGUUGGAUUAGGGAAAGGAAUCGGAUCAGACUCGUGCUAGGUUUUCCCUUGAUCGGAUCAGUGGACCUCCACCUCCUUGCUGUUGAUUGAGGUCCCGAAUUGAGUGAGGUUCGGUUCUGUUCUGGGAGGUGAUUUCUAGCAACAUCCCUUAAUCCAGCAUCAACAGUAGGGUGAUCUGCUCUGUUCUAUUGGUGAACUUUCUGGUUUCGGCAGUAAACCAUCCAGCAGCAACAGCAACUGGAAUUAAGGAUUCUGAUUCUAGACAGGCGUCUCGACGUUGACUUCGGAUUUGGGAUUGUACCUUCUAUU